AUUUGUUUAACUAUGGCAAUAGAAAGAUGGCUCGAGUCAGCUGCAUAAAAUAAUUUUAUUGGUUGUGCAAGAGUUUAUUUUUUCUUGAUUGAUUAGCAGUUAGUCUUUUAUUAGGACUAAAGUUUUUUAAGGGUAUUUGAGCGUUAAAGGGGACAGGACACAGUGCCAGCAUCCGCGGUUAAUCUGUUUUCUUUGCUUUCUAGUAGACUAAUUUUGUGUAUUUAAACGUAAAAUUGGGUGAAAUUUUUUUAUUUGUAUAUUUAAUACUUAAUUUUUAAUAAAUAAAUUUUAUGACAGGGAUUAGAUACCCCAUUAAUUUAUUAUUAUAGUUUGUCUUAGUUU
rnacentral:rRNA from 1 species